rfam:Salmo salar isolate Sally breed double haploid chromosome ssa13, whole genome shotgun sequence.
UGGCUCAGUUGGUAGAGCAUGGUGUUUGCAUGGUGUUUGCAACGCCAGGGUUGUGGGUUCGAUUCCCAC